AUGUUCAGUCUUUUAUAUCACUCUAACCUUGUAAAUUUAAUUGGUUACUGUGCUAAUAGGGACCAGAGGCUACUUGUCUAUUAGUUCAUGCCCUUGGGAUUAUUGGAAGAUCAUCUUCUUGGUAUCAUUUCAGGCAUUCUUGUUCAUUAUCUUGUCAAUUAUUUGCGGUUUAGUUAUUGCAUGUUCAUCAAGAAGUCCAUUCCAUUUUUAUGUUGAAUUUACAUGUUUACUGAAAUUUACAAACUGCAUAAACUUUCUCAAGGAAGGCAUGAUGACUGUGUAAGUUUUGUUAGAAAGUUAAUUGGGUUUUUUAUACUUAAACUAACUUUUAUGUUGAAGAGUCCAAAUUUUCGAAAGAACUAAAAAAUAUAUAAACAAUCCUAUUCGCUUAGGCAUGAUGUAAUUCUAGAAGUAAAAGUUUGAAAGAUUACCUUUCUUUAUUGCAAGUAAUUAUGCUAUGCCUGGUUUCAGUCAGUUUGAAUAUAAAUUCUGUGCUGGGUUUCAUUUUUGCUUGAUGAAGGUGUCUAAGCUGCUGGAAUCAGAGAAGUUGAUGCUGAAGGAUCUUAAUCAUGAAUUUGAAGAAAAAUUAAUUCUCUGAGUCAUUAAAAAAAUAGUUAUUAGGUUUUCAAGAUCAGGUUGUAGCAACUUUUUAUUUUUUGAAGCAUAUAUGUCUACAUAAUCUACAAGGAACAUAUGGAUAAGUGGGAGAAGGAGAUUCAAGAACUACGGUUGCUUGGUGCAUCAAAUGAGAAGGCUAAUGCUGGAUAUCUACUUCAGAAUGUUCCUGAUCAAUCUUGGAGAACUUGUGAAAUUUGUGGUGCCCCUGCGAUGAACAUUGCUGAAGAACAAGCAAUUGAGGUGAACAAUGGCACUGGUAUAUAGCUACUGCAGCUUCAACAGCACCUAUGGUCUUCUCCGACACCCGAAGUUACUGCCAUGGUCGUCGUGUCAUGAAUUUUCUUCUUGGGUGCAUGGUUUUUGCCUUUAUAAUCUCAUGGUUUUUUCACUUUAAAAUACUGCCAUGAAUCCAGAAGAGGAGCAGCAUCUGGAUCAGAGCACAAAGAGAUCUUCACAUGUGUGUAAUAGGAAUAGGCAGUAUAGUUUGCAACAAUAGAAGAUUUUAAAUUGUUUGCUACUGGGAUUUUAUUUAUAGUGUGUAAAUUAUGCUGAGGACUCAGUACCAUUUCUUGCUAAUUGUUAGAUUAUAUGCGAGAGAUGAAAUGAUUUGAGGUGUUGUCCUGGUGAUUGAUGACUUCUUCCUCAUUUGGCCACGCACUCCCUGGUGGUAUGGUAGCCUACCUUUUUUUUUUGGUCAAAUGUCAAUGUGGUAGUAACCUCUUAUCUUA